rnacentral:rRNA from 1 species
UACGAAGGGUGCAAACGUUGCUCGGAAUUAUUGGGCGUAAAGCGCACGUAGGCGGCUUAGCAAGUUGGAUGUGAAAGCCCUCGGCUUAACCAAGGAAGUGCAUCCAAAACUGCAGAGCUUGAGUACUUAAGAGGAUCGCGGAAUUCCCGGUGUAGAGGUGAAAUUCGUAGAUAUCGGGAGGAACACCAGUGGCGAAGGCGGCGAUCUGGGAAGAUACUGACGCUGAGGUGCGAAAGCGUGGGGAGCAAACAGG